rnacentral:misc_RNA from 1 species
CUGGGUUUUGGGCCUCGUGCCCGCCAUCCCGCCCUUUGUCAUACGCAACUCGUCUUUUCGGCCUGGCUGCGCACCCCGUGGAGACACGGGGUGUCGCGGCGGGUCGGCAUUGCAAACCCAAGUGGAAUUUUGAAGUCUGAAGAAAUGCAUAACGAAAAAUA